CAUUGAAGACCGCGUGCUGCCACGCAAUAAAAACGUGAUUUCAUUUUUGGAGUUGGAUUCCUGAUUUUGAUUGAAGAAAGUGAUUUAUAGACACACUAUUUAAAGGUCAACCAGAAAAUAAAAUAAAGUAAAGCAGGCCCGAGACGACGCUAAACGAAGUGCUUGGCGUUUUGAUUCCCACUCAUUGCCUUGGUUUUUGGGCAUGAAGUGCAAGUAACCUGGAUGCACUCAUGCGCAGGGAGGGCCCCGAGAAUGAAAAUGGGGAAUAGAAAUGGGAAUGGUGGCAACUUUGAAUGAACCCAGCGCUUUAUGAUCAUGAUCACGGCCUCCGUCCAUCAUUUUACUGCGGCUUACCGGCGCCAGGACGCCCUGAUAGGUCUCCUACGCUUGCCGCGCAUGACCCGCUGGGCGCGCAGAGGAGGAGGCAGGUCGUUCCAGCACCGGGACGCCGCAAAUCUGAAUGAUCCGCGAAAAGCUGCUGUGCGAUGUUUGGGUGUAGCAAAUAUCUCCACGUACUGCUGUCUCAGAGAGAGAUAGCUAUGAAACCAUCGUAUGGAGGAAUCAUCAAGACCAUAAUAACGCAACUUGGAGAGAAGCAGAGGAAUAUUAAUGGAGUCGAAGGCGCGCGAGAAGUCCAGCAGCACCAGCGUCGAAACCAACCCCCCAUCCUGAGCAGCCAGAAGGUCAUCAAUCACAUCCGAAAGAGCAGUAGCCGUCCCAAAACCCUUGCGGAAUCCCGAUUGACGGCGCGGGAGCAGCCCCUGCUCCUCAAGGUAUUUAGUUAAUUGAUCACAAACUAUACGCUCGAGGAUUUUGGACAAACAUGGUAGGAUGCUGAUAGGC